rnacentral:rRNA from 1 species
UACGUAGGGUGCGAGCGUUAAUCGGAAUUACUGGGCGUAAAGCGUGCGCAGGCGGUUUUGUAAGCCAGAUGUGAAAUCCCCGGGCUUAACCUGGGAAUGGCAUUUGGGACUGCAAGGCUCGAGUGCGGCAGAGGAGACUGGAAUUCCUGGUGUAGCAGUGAAAUGCGUAGAUAAUCAGGAGGAACACCGAUGGCGAAGGCAGGUCUCUGGGCUGACACUGACGCUCAUGCACCGAAAGCGUGG